rnacentral:rRNA from 1 species
GAUAAACGCUGGCGGCGUGCUUAACACAUGCAAGUCGAGCGGAGCGGCGAACGGGUGAGUAACGCGUGAGUAACUGCCCCCCUCUCUGGGAUAACAGUUGGAAACGGCUGCUAAUACCGGAUAGUGGGGGAUGACUCGCGUCCUAUCAGCUUGUUGGUGGGGUAGUGGCCUACCAAGGCGACGACGGGUAGCCGGCCUGAGAGGGCGAACGGCCACAUUGGGCUGAGGUACGGCCCAAACUACUACGGGAGGCAGCGGUGGGAAAUAUUGCACAAUGGGGGAAGCCCGGAAACAGCAUCGCCGGGUGCGGAAUGACGGCUGUCGGGGUGUAAACCGCUUUCGGCCAUAAAGCGGUAGUGAAAGAAGAAGCACCGGCUAACUACGUGCCAGCAGCCGCGGUAAUAC